UACGAAGGGUGCAAGCGUUACUCGGAAUUACUGGGCGUAAAGCGUGCGUAGGUGGUUCGUUAAGUCUGAUGUGAAAGCCCUGGGCUCAACCUGGGAAUGGCAUUGGAAACUGGCGACCUAGAGUGCGGUAGAGGGUAGUGGGAAUUCCCGGUGUAGCAGUGAAAUGCGUAGAGAUGUGGAGGAACACCGAUGGCGAAGGCAGCCCCCUGGGCUAACACUGACGCUCAUGCACGAAAGCGUGGGGAGCAAACGAGGAU
rnacentral:rRNA from 1 species